rnacentral:lncRNA from 1 species
CUGUGCCCCUCUCCCAGGACCUCCUCGAGGAGCUCGGUGGGAUGAAGGCAGCGCAGUCCCAAAUGGGAGAGGACCUGCGGAUGAUUAAGGGGAUGCUGGGCCUGGAGGAUGGCCAGGACACCGCAGCACAGCAGUGGGGCCGCCGUGAUGGAGUGAGGUCAGACAGUGAUGUGGGACGGCCACGAAAGCACCUUGAGCCCGCGCUGGUAGGAGUGGAUGUACCAGGGCACAUGGCACAGUGCUCCCCAUGUUCCCACCCCAAGGCUCAGCCUGCCCACAGACUGUCUUCCUAUGGUUUCUUCUUCCCAGGGAGCUAACAGGGACCGGCUUUCAUCCACCGAAUCCUCCGAGUCUGAUGAUGACACCCAACAUAAGGAUGGCCUGAGGAGACCCGUGGGGGGACCGGGGACACAGUCUGUGCCCAGGGCUGGCAAAGAGACUGCAGGAACACAGCCUGACUCCCUGGGGGCACAAGCAGGGAUGAGGAGGGCAUCACAGACUCCUGAGAAGUGGGCAGGCACUGCCUCAGAUCAAGCAGGGGCAUCUGGUGCUGCUGCCACCACCCCAGGGACACAGCCAGGGUCCCCUGGCACCCAGGUCACCACUCCAGGGAUGCAGCCGGGGUCCCCUGGCGCACAGACCGUGACCCUGGGGACACAGCCGGGAUCCCCUGGUACCCAGAUCACCACCCCAGGGACACAGCCAGGAUCUGCUGGCACCUUGGGGACACAGCCAGCACCCCCGUGGUCCCAAGGAGGAGCAGUGGGGGCUCAACCAGCCCCCCCCAGCACAGCACCUCACACACAGACCGUCCCCUCCAAAGCCACCCCCGGUGCCAUGGGGACAGGGGUGGAUGAUGUGCGCUCCAAGGGCAGAGGUGAAGAUUUGCAGCUCUUAUCACCCACUGCUCUGGGUGCUGAGACGUCCCCUGGCAUUGACACCGGCUCUGCAUCCCCUGCACGAGGGCUGGCAGUGCCUGAGGUCUCUGGCCAUGACGUGGGGACAGCGGAGGCUCUCAAGCAGCUCAGCCACCUCUGCAGUGCCCUGGAGGAGCGGGUGGCCCAGCUGGAGGCCACGAAGUCAGACCGUACCGAACUGGAGGAGCUGCGUCUGCCUUUCCUAGAGGGAGGCCAGGAGAGCAUCACCAGUGUGCUGAUUGACCUGCGGCACCGCGUGUCUGCACUGCAGGGCAUGGCCAGCGACCUGCAUGGAGAGAAGGAGAAGAUCAAGCAGCUGCAGGACGCCUUCAGGAAGCUGGGGGUGAUGGGGGCCGAUGGGAAAGUGGACGGCAGCCUGCAGCUGGGGUCUGUGCUGCAGGAAAUGAGGAGGGAGCUGAAGGAACUGAGGGAGAAGCAGGAUGCAGCCAGAGCCAUGUUGGAGCAGCUGGUGGCCAACACUGCCAACCGUCUGCAGGAGCAGGUGGGGAUGUGA